GCACGGUCUCGAGUUAACUAGUAGUAUAGAAAAGUAAGAGCUCGAAAAGAAAUAUCUUGAAACACACAGCGAAGAAGACACACACAAAACGAAACCCUAGAGAAAAACCCUAGAUCAUGUCCGGUAUGUACGGUGACGAAUCUGGUCCUCCCAGAGGUGGCGGAGGAGGUUAUGGUAAUAGCGGUGGUGGUGGAGGCUAUGGAGGUAGUAGCGGCGGCGGAGGUGGAUAUGGUGGUGGUAGGAGAGAAGGAAGUAGUGGAGGAGGCGGUGGAUAUGGUGGAAAUUCACAGAGUCGAGGUGGUGGUGGCGGAUACCAAGGUGGAGGAGAUCGGGGAGGUGGUCGUGGUGGUGGAUACCAAGGUGGAGGAGAUCGUGGUGGACGUGGAGGCGGUGGAGGACGCGGAGGUGGUGGUAAUGGAAGAGAUGGUGAUUGGAUGUGCCCUAAUUCAAGUUGUGGGAAUUCCAACUUCGCUAAAAGAACUGAGUGUAAUAAAUGUGGUACUCCGAAAACUAGUGGAGGUGGAGGUGGUGGUGGAGGAGGGGGUGGUUAUAACAGAGGUGAGAGUGGUGGGGGAUAUGGUGGGAGUGGUGGAUACCAAGGUGGAGAUCGCAGUGGUGGCCGUGGAGGUAGUUAUGGACAGCCCCCUCCUGCAGCAGCAUCUUACGGUGGAGCUGGUGGAAAUUAUCCUCCUCCUAGUAGUUAUGGUGGUGGUGGGAAUAGUAAUUAUGGAACUGAUGCAGUUCCUCCACCUACUAGCUACACUGGUGGACCGAAUGCAUAUCCUCCAUCAUACGGUGGUGGUACUCCAAGUUACGGAGAUGAUAAACGAGGUGGUAGAGGAGGUUCAUAUGGAGGCUCCAACGAUAGAGGCAGUGGUGGUCGGGGAGGUUCUUAUAAUGGUUCUAGUGAUACAAGAGGAAGUGGUAGAGGAGGUUCACAAGGUGGAUAUGAUGGUGGUUAUGGUGGUAAUUCUGGUGCUCGAAACUCUGGAGGAGGUGGUUAUGGUGGUGGAUCUGCUGAACCUGAAGUAGAAGUGAAGCAAUGUGAAGAAGGAAAAUGUGGUGACAAUUGUGAUAAUUCAAGGAUCUACAUAUCAAAUCUGCCCUUGGAUGUGACUACUGAUGAGCUAAGAGAGCUUUUUGGAGGGAUAGGUCAGAUUGCAAGGAUAAAACAAAAGAGAGGAUACAAGGAUCAAUGGCCCUGGAACAUUAAGCUUUACACAGAUGAUUCUGGAAAACCCAAAGGAGAUGGAGUUCUGUCAUAUGAAGAUCCUUCCGCCGCACAUGCUGCUGGAGGGUUUUACAACAAUCACGAGUUGCGGGGUAAUAAAAUCACUGUUACGAUGGCGGCAAAAUCUGCACCCAGACCUGCACCUGCUUUUGGACAAGGUGGUGGUGGCGGUGGUAGAGGUGGUGGUUAUGGUGGUGGACGUAGAGACAACUACAGAGAUGGAGGCUCUGGGCCUGAUAGACAUCAACAUGGGGGAAACCGUUCACGGCCGUACUGAUGGAAUGUGUGUACUUUUCACUGAUAAGCUCAUGUACUAAGAUAUGUGAAAUCUAAAGCACCUUAUCUGUCAGAGUUGUUCCAAGAGGAGACAAAGAGGUAGGUGGUCUCACAUUGUCUAAGCAAACGUCCCCUCUCUUUGCUCCUUCUCCCCUAUUACAAGUUGAAGGGAUUUUGUUAUUUUAAGCUUAGGAAUAAUUUCAAGUUAUGUGAAUCUUUUUAUCGAGGAAUGUGGAUAACCUCCAAAUUGCUGCUACUAUGGUAGGUUGAGAUUUACAGUUAUCACAUUGAUGAAGAGAAAAUGAAGUAGCUCAUCAACUGCAUGCUAGGAAAGGAAAACAGAAAUGGCAAGUUUAGAACUGGUGGAUCUGACUUGUUGAAUUAGUCUACCUACCGAAAUUCCUGUUAACUACCGUUGCAUUUGCUGCAUCGGUAUAAGUUUGUACCGAAUGUAAACAGAAGAGGGUAGCAGCAGCACUUAUAGAUAUGUCCUGUUGUGGGGAUAGAUGUGUCCCAGUUUGGUUAACCCAAAAUCUGCCUUUUUGACUCCGACGCCAUUCAGUGUAACACUGUAACCUGACAAUUGUUACCCAAACUCUGCCUUGUAAAUUAAUCCAUAAUAUCGCCUCCUGAUCCAUAUAUGACAGAACAUUUUGCAACA